rnacentral:rRNA from 1 species
UACGUAGGGGCCGAGCGUUGUCCGGAGUUAUUGGGCGUAAAGCGCGCGCAGGCGGCCUCGCGCGCCCGACGUGAAAUCCCCGGGCUCAACCCGGGAACUGCGUCCGAUACUGGAAGGCUUGAAUCCGGGAGAGGGAUGUGGAAUUCCAGGUGUAGCGGUGAAAUGCGUAGAUAUCUGGAGGAACACCGGUGGCGAAGGCGGCGUUCUGGACUGCAACUGACACUGAUGAACGAAAGCCAGGGGAGCAAACGGG